AAACCAUGGUGUGGACACUUUCUCAACAGUUCCUUAUAUCUCUCACAUGCUUCAUAAAGUGAUUCAUUUUCUUCCUAGAGAAAUGAUAAUUUCUCAUCUUUGCAGAUU